rnacentral:lncRNA from 1 species
GAUUGAGAUCUUCCCUGUCGUUUAGAAGAGGGUGCUGGGAGUGCUGUGAGCAGAGAGGAAAAACAGAAUCAAGCGGAGGGCAAUAGAAUUCCAGAGCUGCAUAUCCCUUUGGACCUGAUGGAUAAAGAAAGGAGCCAUAUGCCUCUUAGUCAUAAAAAGAGAACAUUCGAAGGACCAUUCAAGCAAAUACGUCUAAGCCACUGAGAUAUUGUUAAUUGGCGAAGACAGAUGCAGAGAGGAGCUCAGACAGAAGGAGCUGAGAUUUUCUAUUCCUCAUCUGAAGAUAAAGAAACUAAUGCUGAGAGAAGUUAAAUAAUAUGCUCAAGGACAUACAAGUUAUAUGGCAGAGCUGGGAUUCCCUUCAGUAAUUCAACUUUAUGUCCUAAACCUUAAUCAUUAUGUUCCUGGAUACGCAGUACUUCCUAACACAGGUCUGUGGGAGUGCUGACUGUUAGAAAGUGAAGCAUAUACCAUCCUGGGAUAGAUACAGUCCUCUGGUUUAAAGGGAUAGGAGAAGCAAACUGAGACAGACUUCAGCGUCAGUGGUGGCUGGGCACAGAUGCAUGGUUAGAAGGACUAGGAAUGGUAUCUUCCCAGUGGUCCAUAAUUGAGUUUUGCAUCCUAUUGUUGAACCCAUUUUGAAGAAAGUAUGUAGUGAUGGUCUUUGAGCCUAAACUUUCUCGCUCUCUGCUUAGCCAGACAGGCAUCAUUCAUCAUGUUAGUGUUCACAUCCAAUAUUGGUAUCAACUGAGUAGUAAAAUAGUAAUCAUUUUUUUGUUUGAUAGAUGAGUUUAAACAAGUAUUUUUAUUUCAUCUGUAGGAAACUAUAAUGAAAUGGAACUAGCCUUCCAAAUGCAGGUUGCACUAUGUAAUUAGGUAGAUAAACAUGGCUAUAGAAGUUAGAACUGCAUGAACUUUUAACAAAGAGCAAAGAGAAUAUUAUAGUCAUUUAUUGGUGAGGAUGUAAUUCUUACCAUGGUCAAAGGAACAACGUUUUCUUGAUGAUAGCUUUACCUCUAGCUUUAGUAAAUACGUGACUUUGUAUACUGCCCUGAGUGUGUUUUCAGUUGAAGAUAGUUAUCAUUCGUUUUCACUUUCAACAUCAGAAGAAGUCACGGAUGUAAACCUCUUGCUCAUUUAAGUUUUCUUAAGUAGUGCCUUGAUUUCAAGUGGAAAAGAAACAAAAUUUAUGGUACAAAACAGAAGCCUGACUCUAACGUUUUAUACACAAGGUUUGGGUCUUUCUUUGAAUUGAAAGAGAGUCUGAAAAAAAAAAUGUGAUCCUUUUCUGUGCUGUAUCUCCUCCAGUCUUUUUAGUGGAAGUUGUAGUUUAGUGAAAGUUGAGUUGUAGAGUGUCCACUCAAGCCAAGCUUCUUCUAGGUAUUUCUGCCCCCUUGAGUGCUCUAGUCAUCCUGUCAAUCAUUUUAUGUGUUUUAAUGUGUUUUAUGUAGUUGGCAUGUGCUUCAAAGGUAGCUAUGAAAAUGAUGGUGCUGUAAUACCCUUGCACAAAUAUCUUUAAGCAUUAGCAAGUAGGCCUGUGGGCGAGAAACCGAAAGGCAGGACUACUGCGCCAAAGUGUACAUGCAUUUGAAUGCGAUGAACAUUAGGAAAUUAUAUUGCAAAAUGCCUUGUUUUCUCUAUUACAUGGAGGGCAUGAACGUGUCCAUUUUCUGGUACUUUUGUCAUCAUCAGAUAUUAUUAUUUUUUAAUUUUUGUACAGCUGAUGGGUGAAAACUGUCAUCUUAGUGUUGCUUUAAUUUUUUCCAGUUCCUCAGUCACCACAAAGUUGAAUAUCCUUUAGUGUUUAUUAGUGAUUUGAUCUCUUCUUUUUUUGAACUAUCAGUUCAAAUCCUUUGUGUAUUUUUCUAGUGGUUCUAAUGUGUUAUUCUUAGAGUUGUAAGAGCUAUUAAUGAGUAUUGAUUUUUUUGGUAAAUAUUUUCCUCCACUUGUUCCUUGUUUAUUGAAGAUCCUUAUGAUGUCUUUCAAAGUAUCUGAGUUGAAAUAUUUAGUUAGUAAAAUCAACUGACAUUUGUAUAUAUGUCCUUUGAGUUUUGUGUGUUACUUAAAAAGACUUUCGUGUGUCUAUAUAUAUAUAUGCUAUAGUUUUUUCUAGUGCUUUGUGUUCACAACUCAAGCCAUAAUUUAUUAAUGAUCUUAUUAACAUCUAUUUCCUUCUAACGCCUUUUGAAGCUUCUCUUAUUCAUUUGAGUCUUUCAUUUGUAUAUAUAAUGAAAUAUAUAGCUAAGUUUUUCAAUGGAUAUCUAAUAUUUCCAACUGCGUUUUAAGUAGCACAUAAUUUUACCUCUAAAUUGAAGUAUCAUCUUUAUCACAUAAUAAAUUCUUAUGUAUGUUCAUUUCCAGACUUUUAUAUUCUGUUCCAAUUUAUUUGUUUGUUCCUGACAGUCACCCCAUUGUUUUAAUAAGUGUAACUUUAUAUUUUGAACUUGGUACGCUGAGUUUUGUGGGGUUUUUUGAUGCAGAAUUUUUUGGCUAUUCUUGGAAGGUACUCUUUUUGUUAACUUUAGGAACAGCUAGUAAAUAUCCUUUCGAAAAAUCUCAGUGGAGUUUUGAUUGAAACCAUGUAGUAUAUAUAGAUCUACUGGAGAAAAGAAAGUCAUCUUUCCAAGCAAGGGUGUCUCCUUGCCCAGGGUGUCUGCCAGCAUAUUAUCAAGAACUGGUGCCACAAAAAUGUUUGAGUUGCUCAACACACUCCCAAAGUUAACACUGAAGAAAAAUAUUUCUUUCUUAAUGAAUGUUAAGUCUACACCCUGCCUCAUUUCAUCUGCAAAAUGAAACUAAGAUCUUAGGAUGGCUGCCUGGGGAAGUUCUGGGCCUGUCAUUUGAGAAGCUUUGCCAUCUGGCUCUAGAAGUGAUUCAUAGUCGGAUCCUGCAUGAUGUCAAAAUGUUGAAAAAAUUAUAAAAACCUUGAACUAGAUUAUUUAGGUUAGAUUCAUUAUAUUUUCAAUGAAGACUAAUAUUAUUAGUUUGUCUAACUUUUAUCUAAGGCUGUGCAUGCAUAGCUCUGAGAGUGCUGCCCAAUUCAGUUGAUUUUCAUUCAGAAAAAUUAUCAGUAAAAUU